rnacentral:rRNA from 1 species
UACAGAGGGGGCAAGCGUUGUUCGGAAUUACUGGGCGUAAAGGGCGCGUAGGCGGCCUUCUAAGUCGAACGUGAAAUCCCCGGGCUCAACUCGGGAACUGCGUCCGAUACUGGAAGGCUUGAGUCCGGGAGAGGGAUGCGGAAUUCCAGGUGUAGCGGUGAAAUGCGUAGAUAUCUGGAGGAACACCGGUGGCGAAGGCGGCAUCCUGGACCGGCAUUGACGCUGAGGCGCGAAAGCCAGGGGAGCAAACGGG